rnacentral:rRNA from 1 species
AUACGAAGGGUGCAAGCGUUAAUCGGAAAUACUGGGCGUAAAGCGCGCGUAGGCGGUUUUGUAAGUUGGAGGUGAAAGCCCCGGGCUCAACCUGGGAAUUGCCUCCAAAACUGCAUGACUAGAGUACGGUAGAGGGUAGUGGAAUUUCCUGUGUAGCGGUGAAAUGCGUAGAUAUAGGAAGGAACACCAGUGGCGAAGGCGGCGACCGGGCCUGAAGCUGCCACUGAGGUGCGACAGGGUGGGGAGCAAACAGGAUAAAAUACCCUGGUAGGCCACGCCGUAAACGAUGUCAACUAGGCGUUGGGAGCCUUGAGAUCUUAGUGGCGCAGCUAACACAUUAAGUUGACCGCCUGGGGAGUACGGCCGCAAGCGUAAAACUCAAAUGAAUUGACGGGG